UUAAACUGCAUGCAAAUUUCCACUUACCUCGGGGUGGGGUGGAGCGAUGACGUGUGGGACAUAACACGCACCUCUCAGCAAGAGAUGCGCCGUCAAAUCGAUGAACCUAGCCACAACGAUUUGUCACGGCGUGAGGAUUAAUGCAGCGAAGCUGUCUUUAAUGCUGGGUUUAUUGGUAAUACUCUAAAGCUGAGAUUAAAUAAGCUGCCACUGAAUUUUGUCUGCCCGGGAUCGUGGAGAGAAAUACCAGAAGGAAGGCUUCAGUAACAGAUGACAGAACUUAUAUGCAGGCUAGUAUAAAUUUAAAAAAAUAACACACUGCAAAUACAAGACAUUUAAUAUGCUUAAUUGUCUC